AAAGUACUCCCUCCGUCCCAAAAUUCCCUUCUUAGAUUUGUCUAGAUACGGAUGUAUCAAGUCACAUUUUAGUAUUAGAUACAUCCGUAUCUAGACAAAUAUAAGACAAGAAAUUUGGGACAGAGGGAGUAGUUG
rfam:Triticum aestivum genome assembly, contig: Triticum_aestivum_CS42_TGACv1_scaffold_178101_2DS